AUGCUUGUCUCAAAGAUUAAGCCAUGCAUGUCUAAGUAUAAGCAACUAUACUGUGAAACUGCGAAUGGCUCAUUAAAUCAGUUAUCGUUUAUUUGAUAGUACCUUUACCUGGAUAACCGUGGUAAUUCUAGAGCUAAUACAUGCUAAAAACCUCGACUUCGGAAGGGGUGUAUUUAUUAGAUAAAAAACCAAUGCCCUUCGGGGCUCCUUGGUGAAUCAUAAUAACUUAACGAAUCGCAUGGCCUUGCGCCGGCGAUGGUUCAUUCAAAUUUCUGCCCUAUCAACUUUCGAUGGUAAGAUAGAGGCUUACCAUGGUCUUAACGGGUAACGGGGAAUUAGGGUUCUAUUCCGGAGAGGGAGCCUGAGAAACGGCUACCACAUCCAAGGAAGGCAGCAGGCGCGCAAAUUACCCAAUCCCGACACGGGGAGGUAGUGACAAUAAAUACUGAUACGGGGCUCUUUUGGGUCUCGUAAUUGGAAUGAGUACAAUCUAAAUCCCUUAACGAGGAACAAUUGGAGGGCAAGUCUGGUGCCAGCAGCCGCGGUAAUUCCAGCUCCAAUAGCGUAUAUUAAAGUUGUUGCCGUUAAAAAGCUCGUAGUUGAACCUUGGGCCUGGCUGACCUGUCCUCCUAAUCGAGCGCACGGGUUCGGUCGGGCCUUUCCUUCUAGGGAACCCCAUGCCCUUCACUGGGUGUGGUGGGGAACUAG
rnacentral:rRNA from 1 species